GAUGGCGGUGUAAACAAAGUCGAACGAUGGAGAGUAAAAUAGUCUAAAACAUAGGGCUGGGCGAUAAAACAAUAACAAUAUAUAUCGCGAUAGACAUUUGAUCAAUGUCAAUAGAAAAGGUGGUCGAUAGAACGUUCGAUCAUUUCACUGAGUUCUGUUGGAAGAAAAUAGUACGGCAUUCUGGGGGGUGUAGUCAGAGUAAAGGGCUUUGGUCUCACGACCUAUCACGGCCGAGCCUGAACCGCAUUCUGGGAAAUGCUAACAUAAGCUACAUGCAUUUACGUCUGUUAGGAAUAAAUAGGUGAAUAAGGGAAUAAGCGGUAGAAAAUGGAUUGAUGAUUUCACUAUCACAAGGUGGGAUACUUACAGGAAUUGUUUAAAACGCUGGCUUUGCUGUGAUGGAGUCUCGUAAAGUAGCCGAGACAUUCAAAUUCUGUAUCGAUGUACAAUUCAAACAUAUUCCUGAUGACGCUGGGCUUUACCCGACUUGUUACCGGCGGUGCAUUGAUAAGAAGCGUUUGGAUUGUGCCCAAAAACUGGCCAAUCAUCAUAUUGAAGACAGAGACGGUGUGGCCAUGGAAGAGCGGUACCACGAGUCCUGUCAGCGUCAUGACAAAGUCUGAUGCAACACUUACUGGAACCGCAGAUGAAGAAGUGUGAGUAAUUUAAUUGAAUUAGCAAUUAUAUAUACACUAUAAAUUACAAUUCAUAUGUGCAGCACAGUGGGAGAGGGGUUAGUGCAUCUGCCUCACAAUACAAAGGCCCUGAGUAGUCCUGAGUUCAAUCCCGGGCUGGGGAUCUUUCUUUUUUGCAUGUUCUCCCCGUGACUGCGGCUUCCUCCCACCUCCAAAGACAUGCACCUGGGGAUAGGUUGAUUGGCAACACUAAAUGGUCCCUAGUGUGUGAAUGUGAGUGUGAAUGUUGUGCGUCUAUCUGUGUUGGCCCUGUGAUGAGGGGGCCACUUGUCCAGGGUGUAGAACAACAUGAAGCAGGCGAAAUGAUUUCAUCAUCGUCAUCGUGGACGAAAACAACACUGCUCUGUACACUGUAAUGGGGGCCAAUUGUGAUUUCUGAGAGGAAAACAUGCUGCAAAUUAGGAGACGGUGGUGUCUCGCUCUCCUGCAGAACUUCCCCAUGCCGUCUGAAGAAGACCGAUUGCAGGACAGAAAACGGCGACGAGUGCAAGGAAGGCUACAGCUUGUGGUCACCAACGCUGCUAAUAAAGACACAGGUGAUUAGAUAACUGGAUAACGGGCUCCAGCUGAGAUAUCUACUCACCUGGCAUUGGCUUCACAGCCGGCUCCUGCACAUGGCCCGUGUAUGUCACGCUACGCUGGUGCUUCCUGCCAUCACCCAGUCAUAUCAUUACCUGCACAUUACCUACCUUCUCUGUAUCCUGGUAUCUGUACAUUUAAACCCCAUACAAACAAGACGUGCAAACAGUCCCUGAGAGAAUAUAAAGAUGUACAGGUGGGAUCAUUGGUUUCCCCAGGUGAACGUGGGUACUGACAGGGGACGCGACGUGAACGCUGAUCCAUUGUCCCCCAGGCAUGCAAACGUUGAACACGGAACAAAGCACAUACUUAUUGGGGUGUUACCAUUUAGUGGUGAAUGGUACAGAAUAUGUACUUCACUGUGCAA